rnacentral:rRNA from 1 species
ACGAACGCUGGCGGCGUGCUUAACACAUGCAAGUCGAGCGGAAAGGCCCUUCGGGGUACUCGAGCGGCGAACGGGUGAGUAACACGUGAGUAACCUGCCCCUGACUCUGGGAUAAGCCUGGGAAACCGGGUCUAAUACCGGAUACGACCAUCUUCCGCAUGGGAUGGUGGUGGAAAGUUUUUCGGUUGGGGAUGGGCUCGCGGCCUAUCAGCUUGUUGGUGGGGUGAUGGCCUACCAAGGCGACGACGGGUAGCCGGCCUGAGAGGGCGACCGGCCACACUGGGACUGAGACACGGCCCAGACUCCUACGGGAGGCAGCAGUGGGGAAUAUUGCGCAAUGGGCGGAAGCCUGACGCAGCGACGCCGCGUGGGGGAUGACGGCCUUCGGGUUGUAAACCUCUUUCGGCAGGGACGAAGUUGACGUGUACCUGUAGAAGAAGCGCCGGCUAACUACGUGCCAGCAGCCGCGGUAAUACGUAGGGCGCAAGCGUUGUCCGGAAUUAUUGGGCGUAAAGAGCUCGUAGGUGGCUUGUCGCGUCUGCCGUGAAAGCCCGUGGCUUAACUACGGGUCUGCGGUGGAUACGGGCAGGCUAGAGGCUGGUAGGGGCAAGUGGAAUUCCUGGUGUAGCGGUGAAAUGCGCAGAUAUCAGGAGGAACACCGGUGGCGAAGGCGGCUUGCUGGGCCAGUUCUGACGCUGAGGAGCGAAAGCGUGGGGAGCGAACAGGAUUAGAUACCCUGGUAGUCCACGCUGUAAACGUUGGGCGCUAGGUGUGGGGGUCUUCCAUGGUUUCUGUGCCGC